UGCGUAGGCGGUUAGUUAAGUCUGUUGUGAAAUCCCCGGGCUCAACCUGGGAAUGGCAAUGGAAACUGGCUAGCUAGAGUGUGUCAGAGGAUGGUGGAAUUUCCGGUGUAGCGGUGAAAUGCGUAGAGAUCGGAAGGAACAUCAGUGGCGAAGGCGGCCAUCCGGGACAACACUGACGCUGAAGCACGAAAGCGUGGGGAGCAAACA
rnacentral:rRNA from 1 species